rnacentral:rRNA from 1 species
AAGCUCGUAGUUGAAUUUCGGGGUUCUACCGUUGGUCGGGCUAACAAGUCUGUACUAGCGUGUAGAAUCCCUACCUUCUGGGGAACCAUCAUGUUAUUAAUUUAGCGUGGUGGGAAACCAGGACCUUUACCUUGAAAAAAUUAGAGUGUUCAAAGCAGGCUUACGUCUGAAUACAUUAGCAUGGAAUAAUAAAAUAGGACGGUGGUCCUGUUUUGUUGGUUUCUGAAUCACCGUAAUGAUUAAUGGGAUAGUUGGG